CACAACCAGAUAAACCAAAAUCCAAAUUUACUGAGCACCAGUGCGAUCUGCUGAAUUUUUAAUUAGUCGGGGCACAGAUGGCAUUGUGCCAAGGUAGAACGUGUCCUCAAAUGACUUACUGUACAUCACUGCUUUGUGUACUUUUAACAGAAUACUCCCAUUGCUCCAUGCCCCACAAGCUAAGUACAAGGCUUUCAUCAUAUUUGUGGAAAGCAAGAGCCAUACAGUGCACCACAAGAGAGCUGCUGGUAGCGAGCGGCUAGGAGGUGCUUGUGCAGUGGCUACUCGGGCAGCGUUUGGCAGAGAAGGUCUUUAGCCGCGCCCAACUGUAAAACUGAUUGAGUUGAAAAUCCUGGAAGUGAUGUAUAGGAAGGCCUACCUGAGAUAACGACAGCUACAGCAUGGCCUAAAAUGAGGAAGAUGGACCCCACAGUGGAGGCGGACGGCGUUGAGUAGCCUAUACCACGAAUUAUGGACAUAAAGUACAACGACCUUACAAUUUUGAAGCUGCUAGGUGUCCAAGCGACCGGGAACAGGGGAAGAGGAGGAGAGUUAACGUGAGAUCGGCACGAAAUUGGGAUGAGGUAUGAGGCGAACUACGAGGAGAACUGAACAGGUGCUUUGCUUUGUUGGUGGGUGAGCACCGCUAGUGAUGCUAAAACUAUGAUGCUAGCCAGGUAACGUUGUCGUAAACCUUCUCCCGACCGUGAAGAAUGCCAGUGUUUCACAUUCUGGACAGUUGUGACGACGAAGUAAAUCUGUCGCCGUUUUCUUCGCAGCACUUUGGACUAUCGUAAGCACUGUGCUAACAUUUCUUCUUACGUGAACACUGCCUGACCCGCGAGCAUAGAAAUGUGUUAACACGGUGGCAUAUUUAUAUCGAAAAAUACCAUCGUUGGAAAAAAGUCUAUGUGCUGUAACUGAAUUUAAAUAAACCAUACUCUGCGUAUAUACACUCACCGGCCACUUCAUUAGGUGACAGGAGUGGCACCCGGUGUGGUCUUCUCCUGCUGUAGCCCAUCUGCUUCAGGAUUCGACGUGUUUUGCAUUCAGAGAUGCUCUUCUGCAUACCUCGGUUGUAAGGAGUGGUUAUUUGAGUUACUGUUGCCUUCCUAUCAGCUCGAACCAGUCUGGCCAUUCUCCUCUGACCUCUGCCAUCAACAAGGCAUUUUCGCCCAGAGAACUUCCGCUCACUGGAUAUUUUCUCUUUUUCGGACCAUUCUCUGUAAACCCAAGAGAUGGUUGCGCGUGAAAAUCCCAGUAGAUCAGCAGUUUCUGAAAUAGGCUACUCAAACCAGCCCGUCUGGCACCAACAACCAUGCCACAUUCAAAGUCACUUAAAUCACCUUUCUUCCCCGUUCUGAUGCUUGGUUUGAACAGCAGAUCGUCUUGACCAUGUCUACAUGCCUAAAUCAUUGAGUUGCUGCCACAUGAUUGGCUGAUUAGAUAUUUGUGAGCAGAUAUUUGCGAGCAGUUGAACAGGUGUACCUAUUGAAGUGGCCGGUGAGUGUGUAUACAUCUA